rnacentral:rRNA from 1 species
AACGAACGCUGGCGGCAUGCCUAACACAUGCAAGUCGAACGAGACCUUCGGGUCUAGUGGCGCACGGGUGCGUAACGCGUGGGAAUCUGCCCUUGGGUUCGGAAUAACAGUUAGAAAUGACUGCUAAUACCGGAUAAUGUCUUCGGACCAAAGAUUUAUCGCCCAGGGAUGAGCCCGCGUAGGAUUAGCUAGUUGGUGAGGUAAAGGCUCACCAAGGCGACGAUCCUUAGCUGGUCUGAGAGGAUGAUCAGCCACACUGGGACUGAGACACGGCCCAGACUCCUACGGGAGGCAGCAGUGGGGAAUAUUGGACAAUGGGCGAAAGCCUGAUCCAGCAAUGCCGCGUGAGUGAUGAAGGCCUUAGGGUUGUAAAGCUCUUUUACCCGGGAUGAUAAUGACAGUACCGGGAGAAUAAGCCCGGCCUAACUCCGUGCCAGCAGCCGCGGUAA